CCGGGACACACGUGUUACAAUGGCAGGUACAGAGGGAUGCUACCGGGCGACCGGAUGCGGAUCUCGAAAGCCUGUCCCAGUUCGGACUGGAGUCUGCAACCCGACUCCACGAAGUUGGAUUCGCUAGUAAUCGCGCAUCAACCAUGGCGCGGUGAAUACGUUCCCGGGCCUUGUACACACCGCCCGUCAAGCCAUGGGAGCCGGGGGCGCCUGAAGUCCGGGACCGCGAGGACCGGCCUAGGGCGAAACUGGUAACUGGGGCUAAGUCGUAACAAGGUACC
rnacentral:rRNA from 1 species